UACAGAGGGGGCAAGCGUUAUUCGGAAUUAUUGGGCGUAAAGGGCGCGUAGGCGGCUUUGCAAGUGACGGGUGAAAUCCCUCGGCUUAACCGAGGAACUGCCUGUCAAACUGCAUGGCUUGAAUCCGGGAGAGGGAUGCGGAAUUCCAGGUGUAGCGGUGAAAUGCGUAGAUAUCUGGAGGAACACCGGUGGCGAAGGCGGCAUCCUGGACCGGCAUUGACGCUGAGGCGCGAAAGCCAGGGGAGCAAACGGG
rnacentral:rRNA from 1 species